AUGGUGGCUGCUUACACUGGUUGGAAAGAUGAAAGAAAUGAUCCUGUUAAGGCUGUGACAUUUGGGGAUGGCAGCCCUUUACCUGCUGAUGUAGUGUAUGACUGUCUUAAUAUACUUGAGGAAGAAUCUGUUGUCGUUCCUUGGCGUAAAGGGGAUGUUAUGUUGCUUGAUAACUGGGUUGUUCUUCAUUCUCGAAGACCAUUUGAUCCUCCUCGCAGAGUGCUUGCUUCCCUUGUCAAGUAG